rnacentral:rRNA from 1 species
UACGGAGGGUGCAAGCGUUAUCCGGAUUCACUGGGUUUAAAGGGUGCGUAGGCGGGUAUAUAAGUCAGUGGUGAAAGCUCCGAGCUUAACUUGGAAACUGCCAUUGAUACUGUAUAUCUUGAAUGUCGUUGAGGUUAGCGGAAUGUUGCAUGUAGCGGUGAAAUGCUUAGAUAUGUUACAGAACACCAAUUGUGAAGACAGCUAACUAAGCGAUGAUUGACGCUGAGGCACGAAAGCGUGGGGAGCAAACGGG